UGCUGCUAGCUCAGACAGCACAUAUGAAAAAAUGUAAUGAUACAGGGAAGAGCAUGGCCCCUGCGCAAAGAUGACACUCAUUUAAGAUAGAGAUACACACUUUUU